ensembl:lncRNA
AGAAAAGGCCAGGCGAGGAGUACUGAUCUGGACACAAUCCACUGGCUGGACACAGAGGAAGGAACACCAGGACGGUACGACAGGAGAGGAGAGUAGAGGAGAGAAAAGAAAAGAAAGAAGGAGAGAGAGACACAGAUAGGUAAGAUAGGGACUGGAGGAGAGGACAGCAGCCCAGGUGGGAAGGAAGGAAGGAAGGAAGAAAGGGGAGAGAGAGGUUGAUGACUGCUACAGGAAUGUUGGGGUCUGGUUGAGGGCCUGGUUGAGGGCCUGGUUGAGGGACUGGUUGAGGUGUGUUGGCUGUGUCACUGUCAGUGGGAAUUUAGUUUGGAGUUAUGGCCACCAGGUGUGGCUGAGUUAUGUUGUGUUUGUGGAGAUCUGUUGGCUGUGAGGAACUGUUGCUGGGCAGCUUUUCCAGUUAACCUUUUUUUUAUUUCAAUACAUUGAAAGUACUUUUCUAGAAGUUCUGCGAAUUGAUAAAAGUGAAAGGCUCCUGAUUGUUCAAUAGGUGAUUCUGAUGUUUGCUACAAGUAGAUUGUGACGAAUUGACUAUAAUAUUACUGUUGUGACCAAGGAAUCUUUUAAUCUCUGUAAAAACCUAAAUACUCAUAAUCAAAUAUCUUAGAGUCACAUGUUCUGUGCUCUCUCUCACCAUCAAAUCCCCCUGAUUUGCUGUACCAUGUGAGCUGAGAGUGGGGUGGGGGACAGGGGACAGGGGGACAGGGAGACAGGGAGACAGGCGGAGCAGCAGGUGUUGGAACAGUUGUUAGGUAAUGUCUAUCUGUGGUUUAUGACGUUGGGACAACGACACUCUGGACCACUAGCAGGAUGAGGAGCAGAAAGGAGAGGGGUAUUCUGCGGAGAGGGGAUGAGAAGGGGGUGCAAUCUAGAGGCCUGUUUGCUGAGGUGUCACACGGUUCCUGUCUUUGAUCAACAGUGUGGUGUCAGGAAAGUGAGGACCAUGUUAGCUGUUGGUUUGCCUUUGUCUUGUUAGAUUCUUUAAGGUUCCUAGAAUGCUUUUAGGUUCUUAGAAUGCUUUUAGGUUCUUAGAAUGCUUUUAGGUUCCUAGAAUGCUUUUAGGUUCCCAAAAUUCAUUGCAGAGAAGGGAAAGAUGUAGUAAGGUAGGAUUUAAAAUGUUCAGUGGAGCCAGCUUUCUGGAUGGAGUUUAGUAGAGAGUGCAACAAGGAUAGACUGUCUGAAUGACCUAUAUCCACACUACGAUGGAGACAUGGAAGACUCUGGGAUGUGGAUGAGACCAUAAAUCGCAGUAAAGCCGUGGGCCGGGCCUGUCAGGGAGGACAUCCUGUCGUUGCCUCCUGUGAAGACAUGCUUCCUUAUAUCCCCAUAUGAAUACUGCCGUUAUGGAAUGAACAAGAGGACGAUGUGGGACUCUGACAUCAUGGAUCCAAAAUAUCAUCUCCACUACCCUCCUGUCUGUCUCUCUUUCUUCCUCUCCUCGCCCCUGUCCUAUCUCCUUCCUCCUCUCUUUCUUUCUUCCUUCCUCUCCUCGCCCCUAUCCUAUCUCCCUCCUCUCUUUCUUUCUUCCUUCCUCUCCUCGCCCCUGUCCUAUCUCCUUCCUCCUCUCUUUCUUUCUUCCUUCCUCUCCUCGCCCCUGUCCUAUCUCCUUCCUCCUCUCUUUCUUUCUUCCUUCCUCUCCUCGCCCCUGUCCUAUCUCCUUCCUCCUCUCUUUCUUUCUUCCUCUCCUCGCCCCUGUCCUAUCUCCUUCCUCCUCUCUUUCUUUCUUCCUUCCUCUCCUCGCCCCUGUCCUAUCUCCUUCCUCCUCUCUUUCUUUCUUCCUUCCUCUCCUCGCCCCUGUCCUAUCUCCUUCCUCCUCUCUUUCUUUCUUCCUUCCUCUCCUCGCCCCUGUCCUAUCUCCUUCCUCCUCUCUCUCUUUCUUCCUCUCCUCCCCCCUGUCCUAUCUCCUUCCUCCUCUCUUUCUUUCUUCCUUCCUCUCCUCGCCCCUGUCCUAUCUCCUUCCUCCUCUCUUUCUUUCUUCCUUCCUCUCCUCGCCCAUGUCCUAUCUCCUUCCUCCUCUCUCUCUUUCUUCCUCUCCUCGCCCCUGUCCUAUCUCCUUCCUCCUCUCUUUCUUUCUUCCUUCCUCUCCUCGCCCCUGUCCUAUCUCCCUCCUCCUCUCGCUCUUUCUUCCCCUCCUCGCCCCUGUCCUAUCUCCUUCCUCCUCUCUUUCUUUCUUCCUCUCCUCGCCCCUGUCCUAUCUCCUUCCUCCUCUCUCUCUUUCUUCCUCUCCUCGCCCCUGUCCUAUCUCCUUCCUCCUCUCUUUCUUUCUUCCUUCCUCUCCUCGCCCCUGUCCUAUCUCCUUCCUCCUCUCUUUCUUUCUUCCUUCCUCUCCUCGCCCCUGUCCUAUCUCCUUCCUCCUCUCUUUCUUUCUUUCUUCCUCUCCUCGCCCCUGUCCUAUCUCCUUCCUCCUGUCUGUCUCUCUUUCUUCCUCUCCUCGCCCAUGUCCUAUCUCCUUCCUCCUCUCUUUCUUUCUUCCUUCCUCUCCUCGCCCCUGUCCUAUCUCCUUCCUCCUCUCUUUCUUUCUUCCUUCCUCUCCUCGCCCCUGUCCUAUCUCCUUCCUCCUCUCUUUCUUUCUUCCUUCCUCUCCUCGCCCCUGUCCUAUCUCCUUCCUCCUCUCUUUCUUUCUUUCUUCCUCUCCUCGCCCCUGUCCUAUCUCCUUCCUCCUGUCUGUCUCUCUUUCUUCCUCUCCUCGCCCAUGUCCUAUCUCCUUCCUCCUCUCUUUCUUUCUUCCUUCCUCUCCUCGCCCCUGUCCUAUCUCCUUCCUCCUCUCUUUCUUUCUUUCUUCCUCUCCUCACCCCUGUCCUAUCUCCCUCCUCCUCUCGCUCUUUCUUCCCCUCCUCGCCCCUGUCCUAUCUCCUUCCUCCUCUCUUUCUUUCUUCCUCUCCUCGCCCCUGUCCUAUCUCCUUCCUCCUCUCUCUCUUUCUUCCUCUCCUCGCCCCUGUCCUAUCUCCUUCCUCCUCUCUUUCUUUCUUCCUUCCUCUCCUCGCCCCUGUCCUAUCUCCUUCCUCCUCUCUUUCUUUCUUCCUUCCUCUCCUGAACUCAGUC